rnacentral:rRNA from 1 species
CACGUAGGGCGCAAGCGUUGUCCGGAAUUAUUGGGCGUAAAGAGCUCGUAGGCGGCUUGUCACGUCUGCUGUGAAAACUCUGGGCUCAACCCAGAGCCGCCACCCGAUACUGCUGUGACUCGAGUGCGGUAGGGGAGCGGGGAAUUCCUGGUGUAGCGGUGAAAUGCGCAGAUAUCAGGAGGAACACCAGUGGCGAAGGCGCCGCUCUGGGCCGUGACUGACGCUGAGGAGCGAAAGCGUGGGUAGCAAACAGG